CCUAGGGAGGCAGCAGUGGGGAAAUUGGACAAUGGGCGCAAGCCUGAUCCAGCCAUACCGCGUGUGUGAAGAAGGCCUUCGGGUUGUAAAGCACUUUAAGCAGGGAGAAAAAGUUAUAAGUUAAUACCUUAUAACCGUGAUGUUACCUGCAGAAUAAGCACCGGCUAAUUCCGUGCCAGCAGCCGCGGUAAUA
rnacentral:rRNA from 1 species